rnacentral:rRNA from 1 species
GAUGAACGCUGGCGGCGUGCCUAAUACAUGCAAGUCGAGCGAACAGACAAGGAGCUUGCUCCUUUGACGUUAGCGGCGGACGGGUGAGUAACACGUGGGUAACCUACCUAUAAGACUGGGAUAACUCCGGGAAACCGGGGCUAAUACCGGAUAAUAUUUUGAACCGCAUGGUUCAAUAGUGAAAGACGGUUUCGGCUGUCACUUAUAGAUGGACACGCGCCGUAUUAGCUAGUUGGUAAGGUAACGGCUUACCAAGGCGACGAUACGUAGCCGACCUGAGAGGGUGAUCGGCCACACUGGAGCUGAGACACGGUCCAGACUCCUACGGGAGGCAGCAGUAGGGAAUCUUCCGCAAUGGGCGAAAGCCUGACGGAGCAACGCCGCGUGAGUGAUGAAGGUCUUCGGAUCGUAAAACUCUGUUGUUAGGGAAGAACAAAUUUGUUAGUAACUGAACAAGUCUUGACGGUACCUAACCAGAAAGCCACGGCUAACUACGUGCCAGCCGCCGCCGUAA